rnacentral:rRNA from 1 species
CAAAUCGUACCCCAAACCGACACAGGUGGUCAGGUAGAGAAUACCAAGGCGCUUGAGAGAACUCGGGUGAAGGAACUAGGCAAAAUGGUGCCGUAACUUCGGGAGAAGGCACGCUGACACGUAGGUGAAGUGAUUUACUCAUGGAGCUGAAGUCAGUCGAAGAUACCAGCUGGCUGCAACUGUUUAUUAAAAACACAGCACUGUGCAAACACGAAAGUGGACGUAUACGGUGUGACGCCUGCCCGGUGCCGGAAGGUUAAUUGAUGGGGUCAGCGCAAGCGAAGCUCCUGAUCGAAGCCCCGGUAAACGGCGGCCGUAACUAUAACGGUCCUAAGGUAGCGAAAUUCCUUGUCGGGUAAGUUCCGACCUGCACGAAUGGCGUAAUGAUGGCCAGGCUGUCUCCACCCGAGACUCAGUGAAAUUGAACUCGCUGUGAAGAUGCAGUGUACCCGCGGCAAGACGGAAAGACCCCGUGAACCUUUACUAUAGCUUGACACUGAACAUUGAGCCUUGAUGUGUAGGAUAGGUGGGAGGCUUUGAAGCGUGGACGCCAGUCUGCGUGGAGCCGACCUUGAAAUACCACCCUUUAAUGUUUGAUGUUCUAACGUGGACCCGUUACCCGGGUUGCGGACAGUGUCUGGUGGGUAGUUUGACUGGGGCGGUCUCCUCCUAAAGAGUAACGGAGGAGCACGAAGGUUGGCUAAUCCUGGUCGGACAUCAGGAGGUUAGUGCAAUGGCAUAAGCCAGCUUGACUGCGAGCGUGACGGCGCGAGCAGGUGCGAAAGCAGGUCAUAGUGAUCCGGUGGUUCUGAAUGGAAGGGCCAUCGCUCAACGGAUAAAAGGUACUCCGGGGAUAACAGGCUGAUACCGCCCAAGAGUUCAUAUCGACGGCGGUGUUUGGCACCUCGAUGUCGGCUCAUCACAUCCUGGGGCUGAAGUAGGUCCCAAGGGUAUGGCUGUUCGCCAUUUAAAGUGGUACGCGAGCUGGGUUUAGAACGUCGUGAGACAGUUCGGUCCCUAUCUGCCGUGGGCGCUGGAGAACUGAGGGGGGCUGCUCCUAGUACGAGAGGACCGGAGUGGACGCAUCACUGGUGUUCGGGUUGUCAUGCCAAUGGCACUGCCCGGUAGCUAAAUGCGGAAGAGAUAAGUGCUGAAAGCAUCUAAGCACGAAACUUGCCCCGAGAUGAGUUCUCCCUGAGACUUAGAGUCUCCUGAAGGAACGUUGAAGACGACGACGUUGAUAGGCCGGGUGUGUAAGCGCAGCGAUGCGUUGAGCUAACCGGUACUAAUGAACCGUGAGGCUUAACCUUAC